rnacentral:rRNA from 1 species
GAUCCUGGCUCAGGACGAACGCUGGCGGCGUGCCUAAUACAUGCAAGUCGAGCGAAGUUUUUCUGGUGCUUGCACCGGAAAACUUAGCGGCGAACGGGUGAGUAACACGUAAAGAACCUGCCUCAUAGACUGGGACAACUAUUGGAAACGAUAGCUAAUACCGGAUAACAGCAUUAACUCCAUGGUUGAUGUUUAAAAGUUGGUUAUGCUAACACUAUGAGAUGGCUUUGCGGUGCAUUAG